rnacentral:rRNA from 1 species
UACGGAGGGGGCAAGCGUUGUUCGGAAUUACUGGGCGUAAAGGGCGCGUAGGCGGUGUGUCAAGUCAGGCGUGAAAGCCCCGGGCUCAACCUGGGAACCGCGCUUGAGACUGGCACGCUAGAGUUCGGGAGAGGAUGGUGGAAUUCCCAGUGUAGAGGUGAAAUUCGUAGAUAUUGGGAAGAACACCGAUGGCGAAGGCAGCCAUCUGGACCGACACUGACGCUGAGGCGCGAAAGCGUGGGGAGCAAACAGG